UCGGAUAGGGGCCACCACAAUACAAAGUUAACUUUUUUCAUUUUUUUAUUGUCAUGAGAAACAUAAUUCCAUAUUGGUCAUUAUCAAAGUUAAUUAAAAAAAUACCAUACCUGCUAAGGAGAAGGCAUGGUCCAGUUUUCUGUGUGGCCAGUUACAUUUCAGUGGGUGGCUAGCCAGCAGUCUUCUCUUGGCCACACAAAAUGGAUCUACAAAUAACAUUCGUUUCCUCUGAAAAGAUGGGGGACGGAGCUGGCAAGAUCUGUGUGCUGGAGCCUGGGACCUGCCUGCCAUUUGGUCUUCUGUCAGGCAUUGCCAAGGAGGGAUCUAUGUGGGGGCAGGAAAAAUGCUCUGUGAAUUAUGUCCUCGAGAAGUCACCAUCUGGUCAAUAUUCAUCUUGCUUAGAGAAAUACCGAAGAUAUGUGCCGGACGCAGAUGUUAAUGCAGAUCACAAGGCACCAGUGACCGAGGUUCUAGCACGGUGCCUGGGAUACAGUACAUAUUUCACAAAUAUAUGUUCAUCGAUCGAUAGUUUCUACCCAAUGUUAACCUACGAGAAAAAAAAAAUGGUCAAAGCAGCUGAUGGAGCAAUUCUGCCAAAUCCCAAGAGGAAUCUUGUUCUGAAAACAGCUGCUCUCUGGGUUUCUUGCUUUCCCUGUGGACUAUGCCCAGGGCUGCUUUACUCCAGUGGAAGUGGGAUGGCAGCCAGAGGCAAAGGUCAUCGCAGUCUGGGAAGCCCUUCCCUUGACACACUGAUGAAAAAACAAGCUAUGUCAAGAAAUAGAAAUGCAUGAGGGUAAAUAACUAUGUAGAGGCCACUCUGUGUCGGUUGGGAAGAAGUCCUCAAGUAUUCAACUUUUUAUGAAUAACUAGAAGGAAAAAGGAAUAAUAGCUCACACUUGUGUAGGUCUUUAAGGUUUGCAAAGUGCUUUAUAGACAUUAUCUCAUUCGACCCUCACAGUAACUUUAUGAGUAUUGUUUUAUACCUGUUUUACAAAUGAGGAAACUGAGGCUCAAAAAGAAUACGAUCUCCUCAGGUCACACGGCCAGUAAGAGGUUGAAGAAGGAUUGCACUUCUGUUCUCGGUGAUUCCAAGUUUGGCAUUCUAUCUACUACUGUAUUGUUUCAAAAGACAAUAUGAUCAAUAUAUGGUUUGAUGGGGAUAUGAUUGGGGAUUUUGACCUAAAAUGAUCACUCUAUUGCAAAUAUGAAUAAUAUGGAAAUAGGAUUUGAACAAUGAUACAUGUAAAACCCAGUGGAAUUGCUCGUCAGAUCUGGGAGGAGG
ensembl:lncRNA